rnacentral:lncRNA from 9 species
AUUACUUCACUACCUUUGUCAAUGAUGCAUCCAAGAAUUUGGAGCCUACAGCAGAAGAAAUCCAGAAAUGUUGAAAAUAGAAUAAUAGGACAUUAUAAGGAUGAGAAGCAUUGUAAGGGAAAAGCACACAGCACAGGUUUUCCAUGAUCACAGAGCACCAACUCCAGAUGACAGUGUUGAUCCUGGAAGGGUAACCAAGUUGGGAAGGGCUGGGUGAUGCCCUGGUCAAGUGGGUUUGAUUGUUUCCCUCACCAGCUCUAUCAAUCCAAGCUUUCACCUGCAGUUAGUAAGACAGGCAGGAGAGAUCAUUAAAAUACUUAAUUUUUUUUUUUUUUUUGUCUUUUUUUGUUGUUGUUGUUGUUGUUAUUGUUGCUAUUUCUUGGGCCGCUCCCGCAGCAUAUGGAGGUUCCCAGGCCAGGGGUUGAAUCGGAGCUGUAACCACCCGCCUACGCCGCAGCCACAGCAACGCGGGAUCCGAGCCGCGUCCGCAACCUACACCACAGCUCACGGCAACGCCGGAUCGUUAACCCACUGAGCAAGGGCAGGGAUCGAACCCGCAACCUCAUGGUUCCUAGUCGGAUUCGUUAACCACUGCGCCACGACGGGAACUCCUCAAUAGAUAUUUUAUUAUUAAAGUUUAACAUCUGUAAAGAACAGUGCAUAAAUUAUAGUUCUCUUGCUUAAAUUAUCACAAAAAGGACUCAAACAUCUAAACCUCUAUCCUUACUUCUAACACCACACUUUGCUUUUGAACAUUAUAAAAAUGAAAUUAUACCAUAUGUAUUUUUGAUGUCUUAAGCCAUGCAUUAGUCUAUACUUUGGUGUAGUCAAAAUUCAAAUUUAUCAACAUAGAUGACCAGAGUCUUGGGCUUUUGUUUCUGUACCUUUGUAGCUUUCAGGAUUAUUCAGGGAGGAAAAAAAUCGACUGUGCAUUUUGAAUGGAGAGAUAUUUAAUAUAGAAAACCAGAAAGAAUUGGAAGAGUUGAGGGAACAGAGGUCAAGAGUUCACUUUAGAAGACCUGGAGAGGCAGUGAUGGUACAGAAGCCACUGCCAAGUGACCUCAUCUGCCUGCUAUAGGACCUACGCUGCCUAGGGAAGCCAUCAGUGAGGAUCUUAGCUCCCUUCCUAUGGAUGUUGCGAGAGGAAAACACCUUCUCUUGUCCUUUUAAAUCUCACCUAAAUUCCUGUCAUUGGCAGAUUUAGCCCAGAAUUCUACUGGAAAGAAGUUCAGGAAAAUGACAUUCUGCAUUUCUCUUCUGUGAUGCAGGAGGGGAUACAGAAAGGGGCAAUGAUGACGCUGAGCUAAAAGCAUCUUUUGGCAGAAGCUUAGCUCUGAAUUAGCUGAUGGAAGAGGAUCGGCCUGGCUCUAUCUCUAACCCGCCAGAAUCUCUGGAGACUUCAGAUCCAUUUCCAACACAAAUCCUAUAGCGCCCUCCUUAGGGAUCCUUGAAAAUCUGCUUCUAUUUUACUUUUCUCAAGACUGGUGAGUUAGAAGGCCCUCUUCUCUUGUCUUGAUUAUUGCCGGGCAGGCAGCUUUUCAAGAUAAGCAGGCCAAUGUGUACACGUCGGAGGGUCUCCAGCAUUAGAGCAGAUGCAAUUCAUCAGAUUGAAUGUGACCCCUCCCCACUCACCUUGUCUCUGGGAUAGCGAGACCCUCUCUUAGGGGCAGACAUAGUUGAAAAUAAUUACUAUUUAUUAUCCUCUGCUAACAGAAACCAUCUUUUUCCCUCAUCUAGGUUUCCCAACUUUAGAGGUUGUCCUGUCCUCACAAAAGAAUGACCACAGAGGUAAGAGUUUUGUUUGCUUUUCUGUGAAUUUAAGUAUCCUGAAAAUUUAAUCUCCAGAAGAUCCCAGUAACCAGGCAACCCAAGAUGUGCUCCAGUCACAAGGUCCUCAGUCCACUUUUUCUGUGCUAUUCCAGUUCAAAAUGAAGAUACCAAAGCAGAACUGCAGAAAUAAGAUUUGAAUCUCUAU